rnacentral:lncRNA from 1 species
CUCCCUUCUGCUUCCAUCAGCAUGGGUUGGGAGACCAGAAGAGAGAUCUGGCAGUGGGAGGCACGGUAGGGGAAAGAGCUGGGAAGCCCCUCAGGAGUGGAGGUGGUCUGUGGGGAUCUGGAUCCAUGUAAUGGGGCAGGGCUGAGAGAUGGCUUCACCUCACUGGAUUCUUCCAUCCCCACAACCCUGAAGGAGAAACUCAAGCAAUUCACUGCAGGUUCCCCCACUAUGUCAUGAAACCCCACCCCAUCCUAAAGGGAAAGUCUGAGGGCAGUCACAGCUAGCUGAUAAGGAGCUAUGCAGAAGGAGCCAACAGUCUAAGAAAUUAGAAGUGCAUGGGAAGGGGGUUUCUGUUUGGCAGCCUUGCUGCUAUAGGCCCAAGAGAUCAAUAUGGAUUUUGUGAUAUCAUUAGGUUUAGAAUGUCUGCCUCUUCCCUGGCAGGAGGGUGCAUUCCAUUUCUCCAGCAAAAAAAUGAAGAGGAAGCUACAGUUUCCCACACUUAUAAUGCAGGUGAAACCCAAAUAGGAGAAGAUGGGGCCCUAUGUAAUGUACAAAAAAGGAGCUCCAUAAGAUUGGCAUUAUCCUGUAGUAGUGUCACAGCCUGCAGUCGUUUAAUGCCACUUCUUCUGAGGCCAGGAUUCCACGCCCAAGUGCAUUUAGUAGAAACCUUCUCUCUGUCUGCGCCCUGCUGCAUCUGUUGGGCUAGGAAGGAAUGUUUCACCAGUCUGCCACAAGGACAGUAUUCAUGGUUGUCUGGGGUAGGACAUUCUUAGUGGCAGUCUUUCACCUCUGGAGAUCAGUCUUGCUGGAAAUACAUCCAUGCCUGAACCUAGCCAUAUUUAGGACAGGAGGCAAGAACAUCACUUCAUUCAGGCUACUAGCUAAUAGCAGGUUCUGGAAUGCUCUGAUACUGAAUCCCUUGACAUUAAGUCUAUUGGAUGCUAUCAACUCUCUCUGGUCCUCUAAAGGAAGUUGAGCCAGCGGCUGCACAUAGUCAUGGAGCAUAUGUUCUCCCCACUCAUGCAAAGUUGUUUGGUACUUUCUUAAUCUAUGUAAAGUGAGCUUCAACACAAAAGGGUUAGCUGCAUUAUAAAUGCCUGAAAUAUUAAUAAUAAUGUGUGUGCUUUUUUAUGAGUUAAUAGAUGUGUGGGUAAUAGGUAUUAUAAGGAUUAUUGUAGAACACUACGCUAUACUUAACCAUCUGACUGUGAUCUCUGAAAGAGAGAUUGCAUACAUACGGUAUUUAACUCAUUUUUUGUUCUAGAACUAGCAGAUAGUAGCAAACACUUAUUUAUGGUUUUGGAUGUGUUUUGCUGUUUAGGAUAAGCAUUCUGUAAAAUGUGAUUGUUUUGCUUUGCUGUGAUUAUUGUUUUUGUUUUGAUCCUGAUGAGCUGGACCAAAGCUUCACUUUGAGGUUAGUUAAAACCUGCCCCAAAACUUGGUGGAACUCAGUAAAAUUUCUUGUGUGCCCUGGAAGACUCUAUGAACUGCUAGGGAACUGGUAGGAUUACUAUAUCACAUAUACCAAAGAAAUAAAAUCUGAUUCAGAUGGGACGGGAUUUGUGUU